rnacentral:rRNA from 1 species
AUUGAACGCUGGCGGCAGGCCUAACACAUGCAAGUCGAGCGAGGGGCGGAGGGGAGUGUAAUGUAUGUGGAUCGGCCCGAGCGAGGGGGCUAACUACUGAAAACGGUGCCUAAUACCGCAUACUAUCGUAUGACCCCAUAUGGUAUUGGCUAGUAGGUGGGGUAAAGGCUCACCUAGGCGACGAUGUCUAGCUGGUCUGAGAGGAUGAACGGCCACACGUGGAAUGGGACAAGGCCCAGACUCCUACGGGAGGCAGGAGUGGGGAAUAUUCUGCAAUGGGCGCAAGCCUGAUGUAGCCAUUCGGCGUGUCUGAAGCAGGCCUUCGGGGUGUAAAGUACGUUCAGCGGGGAGGCGUUACCUACCGAAGAAGCACCGGCUAACUCCGUGCCAGCAGCCGCGGUAAUUC